CCUACGGGUGGCAGCAGUUGGGGAUAUUGCACAAUGGGGGAAACCCUGAUGCAGCGACGCCGCGUGAGUGAAGAAGUAUUUCGGUAUGGCAAGCUCUAUCAGCAGGGAAGAAAAUGACAGUACCUGACCCAGAAGCCCCGGCUAACUACGUGCCAGCAGCCGCGGUAAUACGUAGGGGGCAAGCGUUAUCCGGAUUUACUGGGUGUAAAGGGGUCGUAGACGGUUAUGUAAGUCUGGAGUUAAAGCCCGGGGCCCAACCCCGGGACUGCUUUGGAAACUGUGUAACUGGAGUACAGGAGGGGCAGGCGGAAUUCCUGGUGUAGCGGUGAAAUGCGUAGAUAUCAGGAGGAACACCGGCGGCGAAGGCGGCCUGCUGGACUGAAACUGACGUUGAGGCUCGAAAGCGUGGGGAGCAAACAGGAUUAGAUACCCCAGUAGUC
rnacentral:rRNA from 1 species